GAGUUUGAUCAUGGCUCAGAUUGAACGCUGGCGGCAUGCCUUACACAUGCAAGUCGAACGGUAACAGGUCUUCGGAUGCUGACGAGUGGCGAACGGGUGAGUAAUACAUCGGAACGUGCCCGAUCGUGGGGGAUAACGAGGCGAAAGCUUUGCUAAUACCGCAUACGAUCUACGGAUGAAAGCGGGGGAUCUUCGGACCUCGCGCGGACGGAGCGGCCGAUGGCAGAUUAGGUAGUUGGUGGGAUAAAAGCUUACCAAGCCGACGAUCUGUAGCUGGUCUGAGAGGAUGAUCAGCCACACUGGGACUGAGACACGGCCCAGACUCCUACGGGAGGCAGCAGUGGGGAAUUUUGGACAAUGGGCGAAAGCCUGAUCCAGCCAUGCCGCGUGCAGGAUGAAGGCCUUCGGGUUGUAAACUGCUUUUGUACGGAACGAAAAGCCUCUUUCUAAUAAAGAGGGGUCAUGACGGUACCGUAAGAAUAAGCACCGGCUAACUACGUGCCAGCAGCCGCGGUAAUACGUAG
rnacentral:rRNA from 1 species